AAACGACGAACCGCAAGGGGCGUCGAAGCACCCACACAAGUUACCUGAAUGAAGGGUCUGCGGACCCGCAAGAACACCUUGGGUCUGUAGCUCAGUUGGUUAGAGCGCACCCCUGAUAAGGGUGAGGUCGCUGGUUCAACUCCAGCCAGACCCACCAUCUGCGAAGCCCUGCGGGGCCAUAGCUCAGCUGGGAGAGCGCCUGCCUUGCACGCAGGAGGUCGGGAGUCCGAUCCUCCCUGGCUCCACCAAACCUGGGGUUGUGUCAAGCCCUCAAGGCUCCUGGGAGUAUUGAGGGCUUCGCAUCGGCGAAGACAAGGUUCUUUAAAAAUUAGGUUAGAUCGUUGAAGGCGCAAGCUAGACCAAGAGGUCUAGCGGGAUGCGUUACGAGUGUCAGCGUAUGACUCCAAAGAUUUUGGGGUUAUAU
rnacentral:tRNA from 1 species